rnacentral:rRNA from 1 species
GAUGAACGCUAGCGGGAGGCCUAACACAUGCAAGCCGAGCGGUAUUUGUUCUUCGGAACAGAGAGAGCGGCGCACGGGUGCGGAACACGUGUGCAACCUGCCUUUAUCUGGGGGAUAGCCUUUCGAAAGGAAGAUUAAUACCCCAUAAUAUAUUGAGUGGCAUCACUUGAUAUUGAAAACUCCGGUGGAUAGAGAUGGGCACGCGCAAGAUUAGAUAGUUGGUGAGGUAACGGCUCACCAAGUCAAUGAUCUUUAGGGGGCCUGAGAGGGUGAUCCCCCACACUGGUACUGAGACACGGACCAGACUCCUACGGGAGGCAGCAGUGAGGAAUAUUGGACAAUGGGUUAGCGCCUGAUCCAGCCAUCCCGCGUGAAGGACGACGGCCCUAUGGGUUGUAAACCUCUUUUGUAUAGGGAUAAACCUACUCUCGCGAGAGUAGCUGAAGGUACUAUACGAAUAAGCACCGGCUAACUCCGUG